GCAAAACCAAUUUUGUAAACCCACCACGUAAGCAAAUCUAGUUCCCAUUAUGUGCUAAAGGUGCAUUUUGAUCUGGUUUAGCAAAAUUAAGGGGGUUAAGUAAACUUUAUGUUCUUUAAGGGGUUAUAUGGACUUAUGUUAGACUUGGAGGUAGUAAAUUGAACUCUUUUUAAUAUCUAUGAACCUAGAAAAACUAAAACGAUCUACAAUUUGGAACGGAGGGAGUAUUAUUCAAGAAUUCUAAAAAUUAUUUUCUAUCCGGACAAGGAUUCAAUAUCUUUAUUUGAAACGUGCACGUGCGCACGACGUAAACUGCAAGCCACAAUUAGCAAAAGUACGAAACAGAGGAAAUCAGCUAAAAGAAAAACUUGUUGGAUGGAGAAAAGUAAAUAUUUGGCAUAAUAAUAAAAUCUGUCCCUCAUUAAUUGCAUUAUGUUACACAGGGGGUAUUGUUCUUACAUUUGGAAUGGUUUGGCUUCCCCUCCUGAUUUCUCUUCUUUCUAGUGCUAUCUACUAGUACGUUGAGUCGUCGUUGGCUAAAUGGAAGUUCUUUUUUUAAAAAAAAAACAAGAGAUGUCAGGUAUACAUGUGUCCCUUUAAAACGUGCUAUCUCCUCUAGUAGUCGAUUCGAAGGGUGAAGCAAAG
rnacentral:lncRNA from 1 species